rnacentral:rRNA from 1 species
GACGAACGCUGGCGGCGCGCCUAACACAUGCAAGUCGAACGGAGCUGAGAGAAGCUUGCUUUUCUUAGCUUAGUGGCGAGCGGGUGAGUAACGCGUGAGUAACCUGCCCUGGAGUGGGGGACAACAGUUGGAAACGACUGCUAAUACCGCAUAAGCCCCGAUCCGGCAUCGGAUUGAGGGAAAAGGAUUUAUUCGCUUCAGGAUGGACUCGCGUCCAAUUAGCUAGUUGGUGAGGUAACGGCCCACCAAGGCGACGAUUGGUAGCCGGACUGAGAGGUUGAACGGCCACAUUGGGACUGAGACACGGCCCAGACUCCUACGGGAGGCAGCAGUGGGGGAUAUUGCACAAUGGGGGAAACCCUGAUGCAGCGACGCCGCGUGGAGGAAGAAGGUUUUCGGAUUGUAAACUCCUGUCGUUAGGGACGAUAAUGACGGUACCUAACAAGAAAGCACCGGCUAACUACGUG